AUCAGUCUGGCUCUUGAUCCUAACGAGCUAGAUGAUCCAUCCAUGUACAUGGUCUAGAGUUCCUCAUGUUCUUCUUCUUUGGGGCUGGUUUCCAUCGGUUCUUCUUUAGAAAUAGUGCACUCUUGGAUGAAAUCGGCAAAUACUUAUGCUUUAAUUGAAGGUUGGGGCUGAAAUUUCACAUCGAACUCUAAUAAUUUAAUGGCCCACUUAGCUACCAGAUCCAAUGUAUCAGGUCAGUGGAGCACUAUUUUCAAAGGUUGGUUGGUGAGGGUUAUUAUGAUGUAAGCUUGGAAAUAAGGACGGAGCUUUUUGGCCAUAGUAAGAAGUGAGAAGAUU
rnacentral:lncRNA from 1 species